AACGAACGCUGGCGGCAGGCUUAACACAUGCAAGUUGAACGGGAACAUACGAUAGCUUGCUAUAGUAUGUGAGAGUGGCGCACGGGUGAGUAAUACAUGGGAAACAUACCUUAAAGUGGGGGAUAACUUCGGAAACGGAUGCUAAUACCGCAUAUACCCUGAGGGGGAAAGAUUUAUCGCUUUAAGAUUGGCCCAUGGCAGAUUAGGUAGUUGGUGGGGUAAAGGCCUACCAAGCCGACGAUCUGUAGCUGGUCUGAGAGGACGAUCAGCCACAUUGGGACUGAGACACGGCCCAGACUCCUACGGGAGGCAGCAGUGAGGAAUAUUGGGCAAUGGGGGCAACCCUGACCCAGCCAUGCCGCGUGAGUGAAGAAGGUUUUCGAAUUGUAAAGCUCUUUCGGAUGUGACGAUGAUGACGGUAGCAUCUAAAGAAGCCCCGGCAAACUUCGUGCCAGCAGCCGCGGUAAUACGAAGGGGGCGAGCGUUGUUCGGAAUUACUGGGCGUAAAGGGUGUGUAGGUGGACGUGUAAGAUAGCGGUGAAAUGCCGGAGCUCAACUUCGGAAUUGCCAUUAUAACUAUGCGUCUAGAAUUAUAGAGAGGAUAGCGGAAUACCCAGUGUAGAGGUGAAAUUCGUAGAUAUUGGGUAGAACACCAGUGGCGAAGGCGGCUAUCUGGCUAUAUAUUGACACUGAGGCACGAAAGCAUGGGGAUCAAACAGGAUUAGAUACCCUGGUAGUCCAUGCCGUAAACGAUGAAUGCUGGUUGUCGGACGAAUGUUCGGUGACGAAGUUAACGCGAUAAGCAUUCCGCCUGGGGA
rnacentral:rRNA from 1 species